GUAUGGUUUACGCGUCGCUGCAAAAUCAGCGACCGGGCGUAGGAACCCGAUGA
rnacentral:ncRNA from 1 species